CAUUGUAUUCGACAAUUAUAAGUUACAUCGGAACAAACAUACCUCAUGUCUCAAAGUGCGUGACAUGAGAAAAGUUAUUUUGAUGUACAAUUGUCGUGUCAAGCGAAAGAAAAAUGCUGAAAAUGCAGAGCAGGUCGAGCGAUAUUUUGUAAAGAGAACAACCAGCCUAACGUUUCAUUUGUCAGAAGAGUUUCGACAACGGGCUACACCCAAAACAUUAACUUCUGUGCUGGAGGCACGGACUCGGUCCUGGGCCACUUACAGCACGAAUUGUGGGAGAGUCUGAGGCUGGUUAAGGUGCGAGAACAGCGCUCUUCAAGUCAAGUUGCAGGAGGAGCACCAGGGAGUCAGUGGAGUUUUCACAGAGAGGUGGCGCUUCCUGUAGGUGAAUCGUUGAUUUUCGAAUGAGUUGCAAUGCGGUGUGGAGGUUGAAGAGAGCGAUAGGGAAGUUGAGGUUUAAGCCUACGCGCGAAGCACUCACACUGGGACAUCUCGUCACUGCAAUAGUACCAUCGCGAAAAGGACAGUGCCUUCAAUAUUGUAUUAGCCGCGGAAUACAGGCUGGGUUUAACGAGUGAACAUAAAGUCAAGCAGUGCAGUCAAACCAAUUGCUUUUGGUAAUGGACUCUGGUUCUCAUUCCGCACCCCAGCCACAAUCCCGGAGAGUGUUUCUUUCUCACCAAAUGGGCGGCUGAAUGCUCGCAAAACCCCCAACCGAUCAUCGGAUUCAGAGUGUGCCUAUGGAGAUGCCCCGACAUCACAACAGCGACUGCACUUCAAAAAAGGGGUACCUCGCCGACUCUAAAACGCUUUGGGACGUCCCGAGGCCGUGAAAGGCGCUAUAUAAAUGCAAGUCUUUUGUUGGAUCAGGCUUCAGCUUGACCACAGUUCCCAUGAAGUCUGAAGUCCCAAAUCUUUUUUUUUGAAAGUUACAAAUGUUUUUUUUUAACCGCUAGGUUAAUAAUUCUCUAAUGCCACGUUUCAUGUUAGAUUUCUUUUUACCAGCCUGGACAGCCACCUUAUUUUUGUUGUUGUUGACAUGCGUGAAUCGACCUGACAUGUAGGGCUAGGGGGCCAGCGCUCUAGUUCCACGUUGAUCAAAUUGGUUGUUAUGGAAGACAACUUAUUAUUACAAGAAUUUCGGGCAAGGGUCACUCAGUCUGAGUUGUUUUUUUUUUAAUGAAAAUGUGGAGAGUUUGUCAAUAAAAACUAGCCUACGCCCGGUUUAUAUAAAAUGGGUUGCAUAGGUACAUGUGGCCAAACAAACCGCGUAAAGCUGCAAAAAUAAUUUUCUAAAGCUUGUGAUUUGCCGUCUAUUCCCAGACAGCCCCGCUUUAAAUUUAAGGGAGUGUUGGAUUCGCGUUCCUCAAAUGAUAAUUACGCACCGCAAAUUAUAUACUUAUUAUUUUAAAUAUCUGUGAAAAAAAUUGGUUUGCAUUUUAACUCAGUGGUUGAGAACCUUGCAAUUAAAGGCAUUGGGAAAAUGUGGUUUUGGUGAUAGCUGUGAACUACAGUUAUGUGCCACAGAUAGAAAUGCUUCCAGAAAAAAAAUGCUAAUUUCUAGCUCCCGACGUAAAAUAGUUGGGUAAUAUUCCAAACUUCCAUCCUCUGAGGAAUAGCUGCUAAGAGCAAUUGUGAUCUUUGAAUAAAUGUCAUUCAAAUUACCUCCAAAAGUGAGCGUCACCUUCAGUUUUUUUAAUAAACAGAUCAUUUAUAAAGAUUAGUUAUUAAAUUAAAUCCUUUUACUGGCUAUUCCUAUUGAUCUUGUGGAGUUCAGAAGUGUUACCAUCCCAUCACCAAAAUUGUUUACUCAUUCCUACAUCUCAGUCGCCCAUGUCGGCGAUUCCCUAAUUCCCCAUGUUGGUGAAACUAUUGAUUACAUGUUUGUCACCUCCUGACCCGACUUUUCAAAAUGCUCCUUGUCAAUUGCCUUAGCUUCACUCCAGACAAACUGCAAUUUAUUCAAAGCUCCCCACGGUGCUGAUAUUCAGCCGCCCUCUUUUUUUUUUAUCUUCAUUGCCCAUCCCGAGUCGCCCUAAGCGGACACAAAUGCAUGGCUCACCUAGUUACUUCACAAGGCAAUUAAGGGUGAACCACAUCAGAAUGGGACUAGAGUCACCUAUAGGCCAGACCGGGUAAGGACAGCAGACUGCUUUCUCUGGGGUUUUAAUGACAAUCCAAAAACCUGUUUGACAGAUAAAUUGAAUUCAGAUUCUUAAAUCGCCAAAGUGGGAUGUGAACCCACAUUCUCUGGAUUAUUAAUCCAGUCUAGUAACCUAACUAGCCCAAUACCAUGUGUGUGAUAUUCCAUUACCCUGCUGAAUUCAAUUGGUCCUUGAUUACAAAUCCCUCCAAUGCCUUGCUUCAUCUGCCCUCUUAACCAUCUUCAACCCUAUUUCCCAGCUCAUGCACUUUGAUUCUUUUUCAGUGCACCCUCUCUAUGUAUGCUUACCCUUUGUCAGCAGACAUUAUAUUCCAGCCAUCACAACCCUAUUCUCCCAAAGUCCUACUUGCUCCAUCCUCACCUUUAAUAGUCUCCUGGAAACCUAUCUUUCUCAUGGUAUUUGUGGUCAUCUGUCCUACUACUGCUGAGUCUCUGUCCUCUGUGAAGCAUCUUGGAACACUAAGUAGGAGUUUUAUGUAUGCAAGUUGUUGUUAGUACGAAGUAGCACCAAGCACAUUUGAAAUGACACAAUGCCCAAAGUACACUGAGUUUCUAACAAUGUUUGCUCAAAUUAUUCAGUCCAGGUUCCUCAUACUGUAAGGCUCAGCUGACUCCUCUCCUGAAAGCACUGGCUCCUGCUGGAGUGUGACUUCACAUAUGCACACACAGCCAUUACCCAUCCAUUAUGUAUGACCUAAAGUGCCAGCAAGUUAUACGGAUGGGGGAACAAAGUGGAACAAAACCAACUGUGUUCUCAUCUAACAUCAGCAUGCACACACUUACCAACAGGCUUCAUUAUUUUUCUCCCUUACUGGCCCAAAGUCACUGACCACAAUGUUUGCACCUCAUCUGUUGUCCCAGAUGAGAACUCAUUCUUAGCAUACCCUGAAGAACUCUUUACAUUUCUGUGGUUUUUAUGCCAUGGUCUGUAUUUACCUGCUAAGCCACUGGGAAAGAAACUGUUUAUACAUUUCAAUUGAUAGUUAACCAGUGUUGUACCAACCAAGUAGAAAGAAGUAAGCUCUGUAGAAGAGUCAUACGGACUCAAAACAUUAACUCUGUUUCUCUCUCCACAGUGCUGCCAGACCUGAUGAGUUUUUCCAGCAUUUUCUAUUUUUAUAUUAGAAAGAAGUAAUGUGUCUAUCUGCAAGAAGGAGACAAAGUCAACUCCUUAUUGGAUUACAAUGAGUAUAUCUCCUGUUAAUUGCAUUAAAGUUCACAGAAAUAUCUGUCGAAAAGUAACUCUCAGUCAAAACGUUUCAGAAUGUACAUUAGCAUUAAAAUAAACUGACUGAUUUGCAA